rnacentral:rRNA from 1 species
UACGUAGGGACCGAGCGUUGUCCGGAUUCAUUGGGCGUAAAGAGCUCGUAGGCGGUUCGGUAAGUCGGAUGUGAAAUCUCCACGCUCAACGUGGAGGGGCCAUUCGAUACUGCCGUGACUCGAGUCCGGUAGGGGAGUGUGGAAUUCCCGGUGUAGCGGUGAAAUGCGCAGAGAUCGGGAGGAACACCCGUAGCGAAGGCGGCACUCUGGGCCGGUACUGACGCUGAGGAGCGAAAGCGUGGGGAGCGAACAGG